rnacentral:lncRNA from 1 species
ACUCUUUUAGGCCGCCCAGUGACCAAGCAAAAUGUGGGGUUGCAGAGUAAAUACAGAUGCUCCGGUUCUGCGGAGCAGCCCUCGGGACUUGAGUUUAGGGGACCAUGGCUCAUCAUUCUUAACAUCCUCGAAGCAGUUGCAAAAAGAUAAAAAGAUGAAGGGGAGCCCAAAGCUUCCGACAGAAUUCAUAACAGAAAAUAACUUGAUUAAAGCCUGACUCUUUUAAAAGUGAAUGCUGACCAGUGAGAUGCCAGCCUGCCUGUGAAGAUCCUGCAGCAGGAGUGCAUGUCAGGGUAUCCUGGCUUACACUGAGGACUAAACUCACCUUCUGAACAAGUCAUCCAAGUCCUGCAAACAAAACAAGAGAAGCUUAGUUACCUAAAGAAACAGAACACAAUGUGGUUUCAUAUAUAUGAGAUUUAUUUAUUCAUUUUACAGAUAUGAGUACACUAUUGCUCUCUUCAGACACACCAGAAGGGGGCAUCAGUGCUCUUAGCCAUUGAGCCAUGCCACCAACCCAUUAAGUUUUAUGUCAAUCAGCACUAUACCAAUUCACCUGCAAAUGUAUUUUCAUGUCCCAGGGUAAUGCCAAUGAAGUGGAUUAGCACAAUGGAAUUCUUAAUGAAAUCAGGCUGUGAGAAUACUUGGGAAGCAUAUGGGUAGGAGUUAUACACUGCUUUGGAACACCUCACUGUCUGCAAAGAGGACUUUCUUUAAUCUUGUACACAAGCAUAGGAAUACUUUCAUUAGGGGUACUUGAAAACUGAGGCCUAACCCCUACAUGGUGCCUCGUAUCUGUAACUCUAGACUUUGGGGUUUAGGUCUCAGGAGUCCUGUGAGUCCGAGGCCAUUGUGUACCACAAAGAACAUGUAUCAAAUCCCCCACCGCCCAAAAAACUCUCAAAAACAUAGCUUUCAGACAGAACAAACGAACGGUAGACUACUUUAAAGCUGUGCUUAGCAUCCAAGUAGAGGUAAAAUGGAGUAUCCGGUAACAAGAAUCACUUAAUUUGGGGUUUCAAAGAAGCAAGCUACAAACACACC